UACGGGGGGGGCAAGCGUUGUUCGGAAUUACUGGGCGUAAAGGGCGCGUAGGCGGCCUGUUAAGUCGAACGUGAAAUCCCCGGGCUCAACCCGGGAACUGCGUCCGAUACUGGCAGGCUUGAAUUCGGGAGAGGGAUGCGGAAUUCCAGGGUGUAGCGGUGAAAUGCGUAGAUAUCUGGAGGAACACCGGUGGCGAAGGCGGCAUCCUGGACCGAGAUUGACGCUGAGGCGCGAAAGCCAGGGGAGCAAAGCGGG
rnacentral:rRNA from 1 species